UACACAGGAGGCCAAAGCAAACGGCAUUGGUGAGACCCUCGACGAGGGGGAAAAAUGAAAACAGAAAAUAAACUUCCCGUAACCGUAUCCAUCUUCAUCUCCCUCUCCGUGCAUCUGAUUCUAUAAGUCUCGUUUACUGCCUACCUUUCCAAGUUUUUCUUUUUUCCCUCUCUUUCUCUCGCUCGCUCUAUCUCUGGAUAGAUUAAACGAGCCGUCUUUUAAAACAUCGCAGGAUCAAAUUUCCAUGGAAAUGGCGUCUACUUCUUCGGUGAGCGAAGAACAAAGACAAGAACAGAAUCAACAAGUGGCAGUGAAAGAGGAGUGCGCCCACAAAACGAAGACAAUACAGUUCUUGGGUCGCACUACUCCUAUCGUUCUUCAAAACGACAAUGGACCUUGCCCU
rnacentral:misc_RNA from 1 species